rnacentral:rRNA from 2 species
UAGGGAAUAUUGGGCAAUGGGCGAAAGCCUGACCCAGCAACGCCGCGUGAAGGAAGAAGGUCUUCGGAUUGUAAACUUCUGUUGUAAGGGAAAAAUAAAGUGAUGGUACCUUACGAGGAAGCUACGGCAAACUAUGUGCCAGCAGCCGCGGUAAUACAUAGGUAGCAAGCGUUAUCCGGAAUAACUGGGCGUAAAGGGAGUGUAGGUGGCGAUGUAAGUGAGAUGUGAAAGACCGUGGCUCAACCACGGAACUGCAUUUCAUACUGCAUUGCUAGAGGAUGAUAGAGGUAAACGGAAUUUCUAGUGUAGCGGUAAAAUGCGUAGAGAUUAGGAAGAACACCAGAGGCGAAAGCGGUUUACUAGAUCAUAACUGACACUGAGGCUCGAAAGCGUGGGGAGCAAACAGG